CGACUCGAGCGAAGCGAGAGAACGUUGCGUCAGCAACGGCCCGCAGGGCGAGCCACGAAGUGGUGAGUCAUCCUCUAUCACCGACCA
rnacentral:sRNA from 1 species